UCCUCAAUCAUGUCAGGCCCCAAAGGGAGCAGCAUU
rnacentral:SRP_RNA from 1 species